AUUAUCAUACUUAUCAUACUUAUAUCUAAUCUUUGUUAACAAUACUAAUUAUCUUGCAAAACCCUAAAUCUAGGCAUUUUGGGCGCCAAUUAAGGAGAGCCGUUUGAUCAAAUGAGCUAGCUAAACAUUCAUCUCAUCCUUUGAUCUCAUUUGACUUGGCACUUCCAGAUUCCCCAUGCUAAUUACGUUUAACACUUUUGGUUGUGGCUUCCCCCAUUCCAUGAUUGCAAAACAAUGACAAUUACUAUGCACACUGCUCAAUAUAGACUUAUCUUCCUUUCUAGCGUGUAUUUUACCAAGCACCCAUCCAACUGCCUCAGUUCUCAAUUUCACUCUCAAACUCUAUAACCCUUUUCACUAAUUCAAUAUUCUUCUUUUGGAAUCGAUUUAUUCUUCAUUGAUUCUCAGUUUCUCUCCCUCUCUAACUCUUGAGAUGUUUCAAUUUCUCUUUUCCCAAAAUUGUUCACGUAUUCCCUUCACCUUCUUCUCCCAAAACGUUUCAACCUCCCGCCACUAUCAACCUUUCUUCCGCCGCUGUCAACCUCGUUGCUGUCUCUCCCUUAUUGACUUUUAGGGUUCGACAUCUCUUCAUUUCUUUCUCAGUCGAGUUUGCAUCUCCGGUUGUGAAUCAAACAUCAACCGCACCCUUCCCACUAUCUCUUAUCCGUUGCAAAAUCGAAUGCCUAUUGGUAAUUGUGAUAGAAAGUCAUGGAUGAUGGAGGAGGCAGUUUUUGAACCAAACGCAUAAUAAGAAUGUCAACCAAGCUCUACUUGAAGCUUUUUAGCAGGUCGAGUAAAUUCAAUCUACAGGUGAUGUUAUAAGCCAUGUACGCUUUGUGCAGAUGUAACCAAGUGACACUAGACGCACUGAUGAUGUUCUUUUGCUGCUAAUAUGUUCGAUGACUUGAAAGGCAUAAUGUUAAUUGAUAAGUUCAAGUCUGAUUGACAUAUUUUAAGGUAAUUGAAAAGCUAAGUUACCAUAUAUAUGCCGAUGUCUUCAUUCAGAGGCUAUAUAUUCAUUAUGAAAGGCCGAUGUUUAGCAUUAUUAUGUGCCGUUUUUUAGUUAAUGUAUUUUAUGAAGGUACCUUAAUUAAGAAUUGUGUAUCCAAUACCGUGGCCGAGUGAGUGUACUUUUGUCGAACUCAAAAUAACUUAUUUGUGAUGUUUUCUCAAAUAACAUCUACGGUAGUUUAUAUCUCUUUAAUCUACGGUAGUUUCCUCUGUGGUCUUCUCACA